UACGACUAUAUCACGUUGAAAAACCGGUUCUCGUAAGAUCACCAAAGUUAAGCAACGUCAAGCCUACUUAGAUGGGUAACCGCUUGGGAAUAUCAGGUGCUGUAA